rnacentral:lncRNA from 1 species
UUGAACCAAAAACCCUGACCUGGCCCAAAUAACCCAACUAAAGACCGCAAUCCCUUCCCCAUUUUCAUUCAAUCAAAUUCUGAACCACAUAAGCGCCGCCUCUAGGACGUCGGGAAAAGACCGGCACGACCUCUGCUAUCGCCGUAGUUGUCUCCUCCACCCUCUCACGCCUCUUUGAAGCUUCUCACAGUUACAAAUAGCGAAUAGACCUCAAGAAGGAACACAACGACACUAAUGAUUUCUCCUUCUAACUCAACAGAUAAAAGAUUUUUCUAAGGUCCAUGGAUGAAUUCAACAUUCAACCUGUCUAAGGUCCAUGGGUGAAUUCAACAUUCAACAGCCCCCCAAUGGCUCCAAAUAGCUAUGAAAAAGUGAGUUUUCGCCCUUGUUUUUUAAU